UACGUCGGGUGCAGGCGUUAAUCGGAAUUACUGGGCGUAAAGCGUGCGCAGGCGGUUUCUUAAGUCAGAUGUGAAAGCCCCGGGCUUAACCUGGGAACUGCGUUUGAAACUGGGAGACUUGAGUGUGCAGAGGGGGGUGGAAUUCCACGUGUAGCAGUGAAAUGCGUAGAUAUCUGGAGGAACACCGGUGGCGAAGGCGGCAUCCUGGACCGGUAUUGACGCUGAGGCGCGAAAGCCAGGGGAGCAAACGGG
rnacentral:rRNA from 1 species